UACGUAGGGUCCGAGCGUUGUCCGGAAUUAUUGGGCGUAAAGGGCUCGUAGGCGGUUAGUCACGUCGGGAGUGAAAACUCAGGGCUCAACCCUGAGCGUGCUUCCGAUACGGGCUGACUAGAGGUAUGCAGGGGAGAACGGAAUUCCUGGUGUAGCGGUGGAAUGCGCAGAUAUCAGGAGGAACACCGGUGGCGAAGGCGGUUCUCUGGGCAUUACCUGACGCUGAGGAGCGAAAGCAUGGGGGGCGAACAGG
rnacentral:rRNA from 1 species